AUUAAAUCUACACCACAUAUUCUUUAAAGAAAUCUAUACAGCAUGUACUUCUACCCGUCUUUUUUUUCUUCUUCAGCUCACUUUUCUCCCAUUUGUUUCCUCACUGUCACUGCAACUUCCAAAUUUGCAGUUCGCAUCAUUUUUUUCAUCUCUUAGAGUUUACACAUGCAACAAUAAAGACAGGUGAGCUUGAGUUUCGGCGGCUAUGGGUUUUCAGUGAUGGUACCAAUCUUGAGUUUCGGUUGGUUUUGGGUUUCCAGUUGCAGUCGAUCUUGAGUUUCGGUGUGCCAAUCUUGAUUUUCUGUCAGUCUAUCUCUUUCAUUAGUCUCUGGUAGUGGGUUUUUGGUUGUGGUGUCUGAUCUUGAGUUUGGACGGAAUGGGUGAGGAGAGAGCUUAGGUCGGCGGUGAGAUGGAGGACUGGGCUUGUUGAACUUUCAAUUCAAAUAACCCAACACACCGAUGGCACAUACUCUCUCUCUCUCUCUCCUGGCCUAAACUCGAGGCAAACACUUCUCUCUGUCCGAUUUCCCCAAACCCUAACUCUCAAACUCUCCCUCUAUCCCGAUCUAGCUACUAUGAGAGCCCCAAACGGCGCGUGAUUGAUGGAUCGAUGGUGUGGAGGCCAAGGAUAUCACGGAUCGAUCGAGAACUAUGGCUGUGGUGGCGCGUGGGUUCGUGGCUUGAGGCGCGUGAACAACACGUGCUUCACAUAAGAAAAAUCAUUGGCUAAAUCAAUCACUCCUGUGAUUAAUGUUAGCGGGUCAGUUCAAUGAUUGUAAUUCGUUGCCAUUGUGUGGCUAAGAUCCACAAUGGUGAUAAUAACGGUGGUGAUGAUGAUGAUGACCACGAGGAUGAUGCAGAUGCAAUGAUCCGAUUUUAGAAGGAAUCAUCUGAUUGUAGUUGCUCUGUGUGAGUCUGCCUAUUUUGCAUUUUUAAGUGAAUGGGAUGAAAUAUUUUUAGUUUUGGUUUAGAUAAAUGGCUAUUGCUGGUCUACACAAUGUUUCUGUACUUGAUUCCCCUGGUUUAGGAUAUUCAAAGUUAACCGUGGUGUGAGUGACCAAUUUUGACCAGUUUUGUGGUUGACCCCUAAUUUCAUUCCUUGUAUGAGCACGGAUUCCAGAUGAUCAAAACUUUGCCAUAACACCCGCUUUGUAGAUACAUUGCCAGAAUCCAAUAAAGUAGCGACAGUCUUAUUGGUAGCGAAAGAGCAUAGCUUAAUAGGAAUCCCACCUAAUUGGCACCUAAUUCUCAAUGCUCCAUCCUUGUUUUCCAAAAUAACCUUGUCAGAGUCGUUAAUAAUAGGAAUGCUUGGAAUUGCAUACCAUAUAUUUUGAAACGAAUCAUUGGAUAAAACUAAAAGUACAUUCAAAUUUGUGUAGUUAGUCAGCGGUAUGAAAUCCAACCUGAACCUCCCAUUUGGAGAAUGUAGUCUAGGCCCAGGAAAGGAUCAUACCGCCUGGUUUGAUGUAUUGGGCAUGAGAAGUCCAAAAGGAUGAGAAGAAGAGCAAGAACAGAAAUUUGAGAAGAAAUUUUGAGCAAAAAUGCUCGAAAUUUCCUCAUUAAGCUCUGCAAUAACUAUUAGGAAAUGAAAAGAAACAAAAAAUGUCAAAUAUUACGCAAACAUAUAAAAUAGAAUAAAUAAAUAAAAACUCUUAAAAUUCUCUAAAUUAAAAAAAGUUCAUAAAACUAUUUCACCAUCAAUGAGAUCCAAAAGUUGCUUUCUAAUUGGGUCCACAAUAUUAGAUUGUGGGAUUUCAAAUCUGGUAGCACUUCCUAAUAUGUUACUUGGAAUGAUAAUUCUAUUCCUGAGAGUCCUUAGCAAAAUAGCUUUAAAAUUAUUUGGAAAUUCAGUAUUCUUAUCUCAAAUAUGAUAUGUCUUAUCAUAAAAAAACUCUAAAAAUCCUUCUCCCUUUCACUUAGGGUAGUCCAUUUUAUAAAACUCCUCCUUAGAUAGAAAACCAGAUAACUUAGCACCACUUUCCUUCGCAAGUUGGAUAUCACAACCCAUUGUUGCAAACGAAUUUGCUACUGUAUUAAAGUGUCUGCUAAUCUAUUCAAGCUCUACACUAUAACUCUUCCCCUCACCUAAGUCAUCUCUUAGUUUCUUUACAGUUUUGUCAAUCUCUAUAUCCUUCAAAACCUUAUUUGGACCAAGAUUUUGAGGGAUAUGGAGCAUAUCCAAUUGAAUAUGAAAAUCCUUCAAUCCAUAUUGAUCUAUAACUUUGCCCAUUGGCAGGUGGCCUUCAUAUCCAACUCUACAAUGUCCUCAGUAUAUAUAUAUAUAUAUAUAUAUAUAUUUUUUUUUUUAUCGAUAGAAAAUCACGAUGAACCACAACAUAAUGGGUAGCAAGCUUGAUCGACCACUACAAGCUCGGUACCAGCCAACUUUUUUCCUGAAUUGGCUCGAUAUCUCUUCACCACAACAUCCUUAAGAUAAGAAGCAUUUAGCAAAAUCUCUCAGAUUUGCAAUAAAAGGCAAACAACGUGUAAGACUUUUUGAGCCUGAAAAUAUAUAUAUAUAUAUAUAUAUAUAUAUUUUGUCAAUGAAGUUUAUUUUAUUUUUUAGGCUUAAAAAGUCUUACACAUGCUAUUUGCCUUCUAUUGCAAAUUCCGAGGGAUUUUGGGAGAUUCUUCUUAUCUUUUAAGGAUGCUGAGGUGCAAAGAUACUGAGAAAAUUCAGGAAAAAAGUUGACUGGUACUAGGCUUGUUGUGGUCAAUCAAGCUUACUAUCCACUAUGUUGUGGUUCAUCAUGCUCUUUUAUCGAUAAAAAAGAAAAGAAGAUAUUGUCGACAUUGUGGAGUUGAUGUGAAGGCCAUGUGUUGAUAGGCGAAGUUAGUUCUAGAUCGACAUGGCUGGAAGGAUUUUCAUAUUUAGUUGUAUAGGCUCUAUAUCCCUCAAAAUCUUGUUCCAAAUAAGGUUUUGAAGGAUACAGAGAUUGACAAAACCCUAAAAAAGCCAUGAGAUGAGUUACUUGAGGGGAAGGGUGCUUGAAUGGGUUAGCAAACAUUGUAAUACGGUGGUAAAUUCGUUCUCUACAAUGGGUCGUGAUGUCCAACUUGCAAAGGAAAGUGGUGUUAAGUUAUUUGGUUUUCUACCUAAGAAUGAGUUCUUUAAAAUAGACUACCUUAAGUGGAAGGGAGAAUGAUUUUCGGAGUUUUUUGACGAGGAGACAUCUUGUUUGGGAUAAGAAUACUAGAUUUCUAAACGGUUUUAGAGAUAUUUUGCUAAGGACUUUAAGGAAUCGAAUCAUCAUUCCAAGUAACAUACUGGGAGGUGCUACUAGAUUUGAAAUCUCACAAUUUAAUAUUGUGGACUUAAUUGGAAAGCAACUUUUAGAUCUCAUUGAUAGUGAGAUAGUUUUAUGAAAUUUUAUUAAUUUAGAGAAUUUUUUUAUUUAUUAUAUUUUAUAUGUUUGCAAUAUUUUAUUUUUUAUCCUAAUAGUUAUUGCAGGCCAUAUUCUUAAGGAGGAAAUUUCGAACUUUUUAGUUCAAUUCUGGUGUGAGGGAGAAGAUAAUCCCAAAGAAGAGUAUUGGCAGAGCUAGUAGGGGUCAGGGGGCCACUGAUUUUUUGAAUUUCCUUCUUACAAUCUUAACAAAUUCAUAAAUUAUUUGCAAAAUAUAUUUGCCGACCCCCCUAGAUUUUUGAAGAAAACAAAUACACCACAAAUUUUAAUUAGUUCAGCCUAAAAUUUCGAAUUUGGUAAUUAAAAAAAAAAAAAAAACCCUCAGAAAAUUAAUAUAAAGAAGGAAAAAAAAAAUCCCAAAUCAAAAAAAUAUAUAUUGUAUAGUAUACCAACCUACACGUGGGAAUGCUGACAUGA